AUUGAACGCUAGCGGGAUGCCUUACACAUGCAAGUCGAACGGCAGCGCGGACUUCGGUCUGGCGGCGAGUGGCGAACGGGUGAGUAAUGUAUCGGAACGUGCCCAGUAGCGGGGGAUAACUACUCGAAAGAGUAGCUAAUACCGCAUACGCCCUACGGGGGAAAGGGGGGGAUCGCAAGACCUCUCACUAUUGGAGCGGCCCAUAUCGGAUUAGCUAGUUGGUGAGGUAAAGGCUCACCAAGGCGGCGAUCCGUAGCUGGUUUGAGAGGACGACCAGCCACACUGGGACUGAGACACGGCCCAGACUCCUACGGGAGGCAGCAGUGGGGAAUUUUGGACAAUGGGGGCAACCCUGAUCCAGCCAUUCCGCGUGUGCGAUGAAGGCCUUCGGGUUGUAAAGCACUUUUGGCAGGAAAGAAAUCGCACGGAUUAAUACUCUGUGUGGAUGACGGUACCUGCAGAAUAAGCACCGGCUAACUACGUGCCAGCCGCCGCAGUAA
rnacentral:rRNA from 1 species